rnacentral:rRNA from 1 species
UACGUAGGGUGCAAGCGUUAAUCGGAAUACUGGGCGUAAAGCGUGCGCAGGCGGUUUUGUAAGUCUGACGUGAAAUCCCCGGGCUCAACCUGGGAAUUGCGUUGGAGACUGCAAGGCUGGAGUCUGGCAGAGGGGGUAGAAUUCCACGUGUAGCAGUGAAAUGCGUAGAGAUGUGGAGGAACACCGAUGGCGAAGGCGGCUUCCUGGACCGACACUGACGCUGAGGCGCGAAAGCUAGGGGAGCAAACGGG